rnacentral:lncRNA from 1 species
CGGGGCACCAAGGAAAAUAUUCAGAUUACAAAGUUAUAAUUUCCCUAAUAUAACUUUCAGACAUUAUAAUAUCUGAUCUAUGAGUCCUCUGAUUUAAUGAUGUAUUUUUACCUCGUCAGUCUCAUUCCAAGCGUCGUAAAUUGUUAAUUAUCUGCACGAACCCAGUCCUCACUGUGAGUCAUCCAUACGUCAAUUGUCUUAAAAUCAUUUAUUUACUAAACUAAGUAAUUCACAGAAAGGCAUACAAAACAGUAGGUAUCGUUACAAAGAAAUGGUAGAGGAAUGUGCCCUAGUGGGCUAAACCGGCAUGGCGGCUUGUUAACCUCUCUGGGCUAGGUGGCACCAAAUCGUCCUACCUACGUAAAAGCCAGUUGAAUCCUGUGGCGCGAUUUUCAAAUACCUUAGAAAUGCUAUUACUUCAAUUUCUCAAACAUAUGACUAUUUUACAGCAUUUUAAAGACAAGACUCUCGUUAAUCUAACCACACUGUCCGAUUUCAAAAAGGCUUUACAACGAAAGCAAAACAUUAGAUUAUGUCAGCAGAGUACCCAGCCAGAAAUAAUCAGACACCCAUUUUUCAAGCUAGCAUAUAAUGUCACAAAAACCCAGAAGACAGCUAAAUGCAGCACUAACCUUUGAUGAUCUUCAUCAGAUGACACACUUAGGACAUUAUGUUAUACAAUACAUGCAUGUUUUGUUCAAUCAAGUUCAUAUUUAUAUCAAAAAACAGCUUUUUACAUUAGCAUGUGACGUUCAGAACUAGCAUACCCCCGCAAACUUCCGGGGAAUUUACUAACAAUUUACUAAAUUACUCACGAUAAACGUUCACAAAAAGCAUAACAAUUAUUUUAAGAAUUAUAGAUACAGAACUCCUCUAUGCACUCGAUAUGUCCGAUUUUAAAAUAGCUUUUUGGUGAAAGCACAUUUUGCAAUAUUCUAAGUACAUAGCCCAGCCAUCACGGGCUAGCUAUUUAGACACCCGGCAAGUUUAGCCUUCACCAAAAUCAGAUUUACUAUAAGAAAAAUGUUAUUAUCUUUCCUGUUCUUCGUCAGAAUGCACUCCCAGGACUUCUACUUCAAUAACAAAUGUUGGUUUGGUCCCAAAUAAUCCAUCGUUAUAUCCAAACAGCGGCUUUUUGUUUGUGCGUUCUAGACACUAUCCGAAAUGGUAAAUCAGGGUCGUGCGCAUGGCGCAUUUCGUGACAAAAAAUGUCUAAAUAUUCCAUUACCGUACUUCAAAGCAUGUCAACCGCUGUUUAAAAUCAAUUUUUAUGCAAUUUAUCUUGUAAAAAAGCGAUAAUAUUCCGACCGGGAAUCUGCGUUUCGGUAAAUAGAGGGAAAAACAGAAAGACGGGGGCGGCCAGUGCACGAGCCUAAGCCUUUUGUCCUCUGAUAGACCACUUAGCAAAAGCGCUCGUGUGUUUCAGCCAGGGCUUUGAAUUACGUCAUUCAGCUUUUUCCCGGGCUCUGAGAGCCCAUUGGAGCCGUAGGAAGUGUCACGUAACAGCAGAGAUCCUUUGUAAUGGAUAGAGAUGAGAAAGAAGGCCAAGAAAUGGUCAGACAGGCCACUUCCUGUAAAGGAAUCUCUCAGGUUUUUGCCUGCCAUAUGAGUUCUGUUAUACUCACAGACACCAUUCAAACAGUUUUAGAAACUUUAGGGUGUUUUCUAUCCAUAUCUAAUAAGUAUAUGCAUAUUCUAGUUACUGGGUAGGAGUGGUAACCAGAUUAAAUCGGGUAUGUUUUUUAUCCGGCGGUGUAAAUACUGCCCCCUAGCCCUAACAGGUUAAACAAAAGAGUUGGUUCAGAGAUGAAUAUUAUACAAUUGGAAUGCUAAUCCUUUGCACAUGAACGCUCACUCAUUCGGGAACAAUUGCAAUCAAUAUAUAUAUUUACGCUCAGGGUGUCGUCGGGAUGUUGAAAAGUUCUGUUCUGUUGGAGAGUUUUGUCCUCGCGUUCUCUCUCUCUCUCUCGGUUAGACUGGAUCUUUCAAAGUGACAUUCAUUAAUGUCGUUAUAGAAGAGAUGUUUCGGCGGUCUUCGCGUUCAAUGAUACCGAAUUCCUAGCUGCAGACUAGUAAUUAAUAUCAAAGACUUGUUCUUAUUCUGUCGGUAGUCUAAUAGUUUAAGCAUGUGGUAUGGUUAAAGUUCAGUAGAGGAAUGCAUGGUCAAACCUUGGCCCUCUUGUUAUGGAGGUAAGCUGGUCUGGCGAAAUAAACCCGGGGUGGGGGUUCAUAUACUGAACGUAGAAAAGGCUGUCACAUGACGCCUUGUCCUGUCUGUGUCCCUGGGGGCGUGCCGAUGACUUGGUAAAACUUUAAACAGAAAAUACAAUUCUCUCACAUUAAUAUCUUACAAGCAUCCCAACAUAUUCCAAAUAGCUUUAUCCUUAUUCAUUAAUUUUAUACAACCAUUCGAUGUAAGUCUCAUCGCUGAGGCUAGUAUAUAAACCUUAUUAUGGUAAUAUGGCCGUAUUGUCUCUCAUGAGUUUCACAAAAUUGUACCAAACGGACCAGUUCGUAGCUGGAGUCUUCACCGAUCUUUUAUACCUUCUCCAGAACAUAAAUGUCGUUCGGUUCCCCCGUCCUGUGAGGUGGAAGAAUUACUUUGUCUCUCUAUGAAACCACUCUGUCUCAAAACUGUGGCCAUGAGGCAGGACAUUCCCUUUGGAAUUUACGACCGCCUUCUGACCACAGCAGCCUGGGU